rnacentral:lncRNA from 1 species
GGGACCGCGCCCCCUCCCCGCGGGCCGGUCGGGUCCUCCCACAGGCCGCGCCCACGACCACGACGACUCCUCCUCUAGGCCGACCUGCAACCGCUCCUCACUGUCCGGCUUGACUGGGUCUCCCGGCCCAACCGGCCGGCGCCGACCUGCACCUUCUGCUUUGGCCCGGCUCCGGCUCCUGCUCCUGUCCCGCUUCACCCGGAUCCUCGACCGUGAGCUCGUCUCGCUGCCUCCAUCCCGCCGGCCUUCCCAGCAGUCCCCGCGCCGCCUUAAAGGUGAAGCCGCUACCUCGGCGGCGUCGGAGGGGGCGAAACACGCUCCAGCCGGCCAGCUCGCUGCCUUAAAGGGGCCCCGCAGGCCUGGCCGGCUUCGGGGUGGGGCCAGCCCAGACGGGACGCAGAGGGGCGUGGCUGGACUCGCCCCCUCGGACCAGAGCUUCCAGGUCUGUGCGCUCUGCGGAGCUCCGACCCCGGACCAGAGUGACUGAGGAGCAAGAAGGCCGACCUCCUCAGAUUCCAGAGCGAGUCGGUCCACAUUGAUUGACUGUCAAGUGUUUUUGUCGAUGUCUUAGUGCAUUGACUUAAUGCUCACAAAGGGCUGGUGAGGUGGGUGUUGCCAUUACCCACCUCUCACACAUCUGACCCCCCAGCCCCCUCCGCGCUCUAGAGACGCACCUCUUACCGGCUUCGGAGGUGACUGUGCCUGUAGGGAAUUCUCAGCAUCUAGGUUUGCUUUGUGAGGGAACAGAAGGAGGCUUCUGGUUAAAAAGGAGAAUUGGGUGGGAAGGAGCGUGUGGAGGUCGGUGGAGAAGGGAGAAGAUCCACGCCCCUGAGGGGAAUAUCUGGGUGGAUACUGCUGACCAGAUAAGGAGGUCAGACGAGUGCCUUUGGAUUGUGGUGGUGUCAUUGGGGGGCCUCAGAUUGGGUGUCACCAACUCGGAAGGAAAGACCUCUGUGCUAGAUAGUUUUAUGUCAACUUGACACAAACUAGGGUCAUUGAACAGAUGGGAAUCUCGGCUGAGAAGAUGCUGCCAUAGGAUCGGGCUGCAGGAAAACCUGUUUUCUUACUGAUUGUUGUGGGAGGGCCCAGGCCAGGGUAGGUGAGGCCAGAAGGCAGUUCUGAGCAAGUUCAGAGGGCAAGCCCAGAAGCAGCACUCCUUCAUGGGCUCUGCAUCAGCUCCUUUCUCUGGGUUCUGUUCUCUCUGGGUGCCUGUCCUGACUUCCUUCACUGGAUGAAGAGUGCACCAAAUAAACCCUUUUGGUCACUGUGUUUCCACACAGCAAUAUUAACUC